rnacentral:rRNA from 1 species
UACGUAGGGGUGCAAGCGUUAAUCGGAAUUACUGGGCGUAAAGCGUGCGCAGGCGGUUAUGUAAGACAGAAUGUGAAAUGCCCGGGCUUAACCUGGGAACUGCAUUUGUGACUGCAUGGCUAGAGUUUGGCAGAGGGGGGUAGAAUUCCACGUGUAGCAGUUGAAAGUGCGUAGAUAUGGUGGAGGAACACCGAUGGCGAAGGCGAGCCCCC